ACCCGGGGAGGGGGGCAGCCCCGCUGGUGUAAUAGACUUUCCUUUCUCCAACUGAAAAGGCUCAGUGACUCAGUUUCCCAGAAAGUACCACAUCAAGAUGAAGUCAAAAAUACGACUAAAGGUGAGUAGAAGAGGCCAGUGUUAUCCGAGUAAAUGACCCAGAUUCCAAUAUCAAAGUGUCAAACAGAAACCCGUAUAAGCCAGGGGAAAGUUGGGAAAUAGGACUCAAAAAUUAAGGAACUGAAUGCAAUGUUCCCGAGGAAGAUGCAAAUGAGCAUAUUUUAAUGUUGCAAAACUGUCAGAUGUUGUCCGAGGAAGCUAACAGAAUGCCAUCACACCCAAGAGGUUCAUCUCUGACGGGGAAUGCCCACUGCCGUCAGUUUGGUUGCCAGAUAGUUCAUGCCUGAGUAUCUUCUUAAAUUCCUUUUCCAUAA